rnacentral:rRNA from 1 species
CGAUCGGUAGCCGGACUGAGAGGUUGAACGGCCACAUUGGGACUGAGACACGGCCCAGACUCCUACGGGAGGCAGCAGUGGGGAAUAUUGCACAAUGGGGGAAACCCUGAUGCAGCGACGCCGCGUGGAGGAAGAAGGUCUUCGGAUUGUAAACUCCUGUUGUUGAGGAAGAUAAUGACGGUACUCAACAAGGAAGUGACGGCUAACUACGUGCCAGCAGCCGCGGUAAAACGUAGGUCACAAGCGUUGUCCGGAAUUACUGGGUGUAAAGGGAGCGCAGGCGGGAAGACAAGUUGGAAGUGAAAUCCAUGGGCUCAACCCAUGAACUGCUUUCAAAACUGUUUUUCUUGAGUAGUGCAGAGGUAGGCGGAAUUCCCGGUGUAGCGGUGGAAUGCGUAGAUAUCGGGAGGAACACCAGUGGCGAAGGAGGCCUACUGGGCACCAACUGACGCUGAGGCUCGAAAGUGUGGGUAGCAAACAGGAUUAGAUACCCUGGUAGUCCACACCGUAAACGAUGAUUACUAGGUGUUGGAGGAUUGACCCCUUCAGUGCCGCAGUUAACACAAUAAGCAAUCCACCUGGGGAGUACGACCGCAAGGUUGAAACUCAAAGGAAUUGACGGGGGCCCGCACAAGCAGUGGAGUAUGUGGUUUAAUUCGACGCAACGCGAAGAACCUUACCAAGUCUUGACAUCCUGCGACGAUGCUGGAAACAGUAUUUUCCUUCGGGACGCAGAGACAGGUGGUGCAUGGUUGUCGUCAGCUCGUGUCGUGAGAUGUUGGGUUAAGUCCCGCAACGAGCGCAACCCUUACUGUCAGUUACUACGCAGGAGGACUCUGGCAGGACUGCCGUUGACAAAACGGAGGAAGGUGGGGAUGACGUCAAAUCAUCAUGCCCUUUAUGACUUGGGCUACACACGUACUACAAUGGCGUUAAACAAAGAGAAGCAAGACCGCGAGGUGGAGCAAAACUCAGAAACAACGUCCCAGUUCGGACUGCAGGCUGCAACUCGCCUGCACGAAGUCGGAAUUGCUAGUAAUCGUGGAUCAGCAUGCCACGGUGAAUACGUUCCCGGGCCUUGUACACACCGCCCGUCACACCAUGAGAGCCGGGGGGACCCGAAGUCGGUAGUCUAACCGCAAGGAGGACGCCGCCGAAGGUAAAACUGGUGAUUGGGGUGAAGUCGUAACAAGGUAACCGUACUAGUACGAGGACAG